UACGGGGGGGGCAAGCGUUGUUCGGAAUUACUGGGCGUAAAGGGUUCGUAGGUGGCUUGCUAAGUCAGACGUGAAAUCCCUCAGCUUAACUGGGGAACUGCGUCUGAUACUGGCGAGCUUGAGUGCAGGAGAGGAACGCAGAAUUCCAGGUGUAGCAGUGAAAUGCGUAGAUAUCAAGUGGAACACCAGUGGCGAAGGCGAGUCCCUGGAAAACUCCUGACACUGAGGCACGAAAGCUAGGGGAGCAAACAGG
rnacentral:rRNA from 1 species